CCACGUGAGGCAUGCAGCGUGGUGAGUGAGGCAAACGGCAGCCAAGGACUCGCGGGAGCAUCUGAUUACGCACGGGGUGAACGCUGGAGCACCUACUAUCCUGCAGGCUCCAGGGGACAAGAGCCCAAGUGAGGCUGCCAGGCGGGAGGCUGCUGCAGGGGACCAGAGACAAGGAAAAUGAGGCCCAGGUGCGUGAAGAAACUGGCCUAUCAAGGCAGAGCUAGCGGGUAGCAUGCUGGACUUCUAAGCCUUCCUGAGAAAGUGAACUGCUUCCUCUGAGAUGGGCAUAGGCAUGGCUGUGUGUGCAUCUUGUCCUGACCAUUCCACAGUGGCUGUUAUCACACUCCAUUUACAAGUUGGCUCAGAAAACCGGAGGUGAAGCUGAAGCAGCCCAGCUGGCCCUAAGAAGCCCUGGACGCUCCCUCCCAUCCUCACAUCGUUGAGUCAAUGCUAUUAUUUGAAUGUCUGUGUCCCCUCCAAAAUUCAUGUUGGAACUUAAUCCUUAAGGAGCAGUUUUAAGAGAUGGGGCCUUUAGGUCAUGAGGGCUCUGCUCUAUGAAUGGAUUAGUGUCUUAUAAAAGGGCUUGAGGGGGCCAGUUCCCCCCUCUUCAGUCCCAUAUGCCAUGUGAAGACACAGUUCAUGGUGCCAUCUUGGAAGCAGAGAGCAACCCUUAACAGACACUGAACAAGCCCGUGCCUUGAUCUUGGACUUCACAGCGUCCAGAACAGUGAGAAAUAAAUUUCUGUUGUUUACAAAUUAUCCAGUGUAUUAGUCUGUUUUCCCACUGUUGAUACAGACAUACCCAAGACUGGGCAAUUUACAAAAGAAAGAGGUUUAAUGG
rnacentral:lncRNA from 10 species